rnacentral:lncRNA from 1 species
CGCCCGCUGGAAACCUGUGUCCAGAGCAGGAGAGCAACCGGAAGUGAGGCCUGCUGGCUGAGAGAGACCACUGUGAGCAGGGCCCCGAAACUCACCGGCUCGUUCUGGGGCGCUUUCUUCCCGACUGUUCGCACGCUGAAGGCCUUGUGCUCACCUCGCCUAUUUGUGUGUCUUCUCAGCACAUGGAGACCCAGAAGAAUCAGUGUAAAAUAGAUUUGGACAGCAAAUUGCCUUUCUGCAGUUGUGUUAUGGCUACCAUUGCAAUUAAGAAAUGGAAAAUGAACUUCUGAGAUCCAAUGCAGUCGGCUUUCAUCAGCCUCAGAACCAUGUAUGGAAAGAAAACAAAAUACAGAUGUAAGAGGAUGGCAAAAAGAGAAAACCCAGCAAAAGCACUCAGAAGUGGUGCAAGAACCCUGGGUGAAAACCAACUUUGGGAAAAUAGCAGCGGAAGACAUCUGCCAUCCGUGAACAGGCAGUGGUUUAGUUGGCUUCAUACCUGUGUUCCCUCAUUUAUUUUGAGUAAAGAAAAAAAUCAGUAUUUCUCUUUUGUGAAAUGUUUGGGAAUUAGAAAAAAAUGUUUGUUGAAGUAUAAGAAGAAAAAUGCUGGGGCCGGGGGUUUAGCUCAGUGGUUUCGCCGCCUGCUCCACAAGCGCAAGGACGCAAGUUCAAUCCCCGGUACCAAAAAAACCAAAAAACCAAAAAAAAGAAAAGUGCUUCAGGAAUUGUGCCAGGCAUUCUUAAU